rnacentral:rRNA from 1 species
CUGCUCUCCGCCAGAGAACUACAAGUGAAAAACUUCAAACUCAAAGGACUUGGCGGUGUCCCAUAUCGGCCUAGAGGAGCCUGUCCUAUAAUCGAUACUCCCCGCUCUACCUAACCUCAACUAGCACUCCACAGCCUAUAUACCGCCGUCGACAGUCUACCCCAUGAGGGCCCAACAGUAGACACAAUAGCCCAACCGCUAACACGUCAGGUCAAGGUGUAGCACAUGCUGAGGAAGAGAUUGGCUACAUUUUUUACAUUAAAAAACACGAAAUGCAACAUGAAACCCUGCAUGAAGGUGAAUUUAGUAGUAAGAUCUAAUGAGAGUAUUUAUCUUAACAACGCUCUGGGACGCGCACACACCGCCCGUCA